GAAUUGCGAUACGUAAUGUGAAUUGCAGAAUUCAGUGAAUCAUCGAAUCUUUGAACGCACCUUGCGCCCUUUGGUAUUCCGAAGGGCAUGCCUGUUUGAGUGUCAUUAAAUUCUCAACUUCAAUAACUUUUUGCUAUUGAAGCUUGGACUUUGGAGGUUAUUGCAGGCAUGUUUAGUGUCAGCUCCUCUUAAAUGCAUUAGCAGAACUUGUUAAGGAUCAGCUUUGGUUUGAUAAUAUCUAUGCCGUCGCUGUGAACUUCUAAUGUUCAGCUUCUAAUUGUCUUAGGACUGUCUCUUAUGAGGCAUACACUUUUAAGCUUGACCUCAAAUCAGGUAGGAUUACCCGCUGAACUUAA
rnacentral:misc_RNA from 1 species